rnacentral:rRNA from 1 species
AUUGAACGCUGGCGGCAUGCCUUACACAUGCAAGUCGAACGGUAGAGUAGCAAUACUCGAGAGUGGCGAACGGGUGAGUAAUAUAUCGGAACGUGCCCAGUCGUGGGGGAUAACGUAGAGAAAUUUACGCUAAUACCGCAUACGAUCUACGGAUGAAAGCGGGGGACCGCAAGGCCUCGCGCGAGAAGAUGAGCCGAUGUCCGAUUAGCUAGUUGGUGAGGUAAAGGCUCACCAAGGCGACGAUCGGUAGCUGGUCUGAGAGGAUGAUCAGCCACACUGGAACUGAGACACGGUCCAGACUCCUACGGGAGGCAGCAGUGGGGAAUAUUGGACAAUGGGCGCAAGCCUGAUCCAGCCAUGCCGCGUGUGUGAAGAAGGCCUUCGGGUUGUAAAGCACUUUUGUUGGGGAAGAAAAGACCGUGGUUAAUGACCGUGGUUCAUGACGGUACCCAAAGAAUAAGCACCGGCUAACUUCGUGC